GCUGGGGCUCAGUGGUAGACUGCUCGCCUUCCAUGUGUGAGGUCCUGGGUUUGAUCCUCAGCAUCA
rnacentral:tRNA from 1 species